GAUGAACGCUGGCGGCGUGCCUAAUACAUGCAAGUCGAGCGAACAGACGAGGAGCUUGCUCCUCUGACGUUAGCGGCGGACGGGUGAGUAACACGUGGAUAACCUACCUAUAAGACUGGGAUAACUUCGGGAAACCGGAGCUAAUACCGGAUAAUAUAUUGAACCGCAUGGUUCAAUAGUGAAAGACGGUUUUGCUGUCACUUAUAGAUGGAUCCGCGCCGCAUUAGCUAGUUGGUAAGGUAACGGCUUACCAAGGCAACGAUGCGUAGCCGACCUGAGAGGGGGAUCGGCCACACUGGAACUGAGACACGGUCCAGACUCCGACGGGAGGCAGCAGUAGGGAAUCUUCCGCAAUGGGCGAAAGCCUGACGGAGCAACGCCGCGUGAGUGAUGAAGGUCUUCGGAUCGUAAAACGCUGUUAUUAGGGAAGAACAAAUGUGUAAGUAACUAUGCACGUCUGGACGGUACCUAAUCAGAAAGCCACGGCUAACUACGU
rnacentral:rRNA from 1 species